rnacentral:rRNA from 1 species
GGGUUCCGUACCACGAAGACCGGUUCGGCCUAACCCGACCAAGGAAGGGGCGGCUCGACCACGGUGAGAUUCAUGACUGGGGUG